rnacentral:rRNA from 1 species
AUUGAACGCUGGCGGCAGGCCUAACACAUGCAAGUCGAGCGGAUGAAGGGUACUUGCUCCUUGAUUCAGCGGCGGACGGGUGAGUGAGUCCUAAGAACCUCCCUGUUUGUUUUUUAUAACGUCCUGACACGGGCGCUCAUACCGCAUACCUCCUGACGGCGAACGUGGGGGAGCUUCGGAUCUCACGCUCUCACAUGAUUCUAUGUCGGAUUAGCUAGUUGGUGGGGUAAAGGCCUACCAAGGCGACGAUCCGUGGCUGGUCUGAGAGGAUGAUCAGCCACACUGGAACUGAGACACGGUCCAGACUCCUACGGGAGGCAGCAGUGGGGAAUAUUGGACAAUGGGCGCAAGCCUGAUCCAGCCAUGCCGCGUGGGUGAAGAAGGCCUUCGGGUUGUAAAGCCCUUUUGUUGGGAAAGAAAAGCAGCAGGUUAAUACCUCGCUGUUCUGACGUUACCCAAAGAAUAAGCACCGGCUAACUUCGUG